rnacentral:rRNA from 1 species
CCAGACUCCUACGGGAGGCAGCAGUGGGGAAUAUUGCACAAUGGGGGAAACCCUGAUGCAGCGACGCCGCGUGAGUGAAGAAGUAUUUCGGUAUGUAAAGCUCUAUCAGCAGGGAAGAUAAUGACGGUACCUGACUAAGAAGCCCCGGCUAACUACGUGCCAGCAGCCGCGGUAAUACGUAGGGGGCAAGCGUUAUCCGGAUUUACUGGGUGUAAAGGGAGCGUAGGUGGCAGGGCAAGUCAGAUGUGAAAACCCGGGGCUCAACCCCGGGACUGCUCUUGGAACUGCGUGGCUGGAGUGCAGGAGGGGCAGGCGGAAUUCCUGGUGUAGCGGUGAAAUGCGUAGAUAUCAGGAGGAACACCGGUGGCGAAGGCGGCCUGCUGGACUGCAACUGACGUUGAGGCCCGAAAGCGUGGGGAGCAAACAGGAUUAGAUACCCCCGUAA